AGACCUCCUGACCAACUCACUCCUCUCCUCCUGGUGACCACCACUCCGGCCAGGCCCAGGCAGCAGGCUGGGAGGAACUUGAACAAGUACACACAGUGAGGAGAAAGUCGCAGGAGGGGGAGAAGAAACCGAUCCAUGAAAUUUCAAGGCCAGUACAGCAGCUCGGCUCUGACCCUUAAUGGGAGCUCCAUCACGUUCCUGGGUGACUGUUAAGCUCACAGCUUUUUGGCAGGAAAAUAAAACAAGAGUUCUCUGUGGGGUCAGUCAACAGUUCAUUAGCUAUGCAAGAGAAACCACCAUCUCAAAGGUUGUGCAUCUUAAGAACGCAAGGAAAUGGGUAAAGGAAAAAGCUGCCGACAUUAACAUGAAACUAGAAACCAAUUCCAGCCCUCGAAUACUGUUGCCGUAUAAUGGAAGAAGUUUAUUUCUGGAGGAGAAAGUGUCCAGGUAUUUGCACUCAUCGCUCCCCGUCACCAUCUGCAAAGAAACCCAGGCCCUGUGCAGCCGGGCGACUGGGAGGAGCUCCGCCCAGGCCUGGCAGAACACAUGCGCGCCAAACCUUGACUUCCUUGCAUUCAACCUGCUGAAAUCCAUCAGCCAAGAGCAAUCAACAGGCAACUGUUUUCAUGCAAAACAGAUAUUAAAUCAAAAUCACGAGUGGCACAAGGGGGAAAUCCUUGUCCUUCCUAAUUUCAGGCGGUGCAUAAAGCAAGCUAUUGCUCCAGGGACCCGCGGAUCCUCAACAGCCAUCACUACCACACAGGGCAAUGUUGGCACACAGGAGCAAUUUAAGUCUUUUGUGUCCAAAAGUCCCUGCUCUAACAUCCAAAGAAACUGGCACAACAACA